rnacentral:misc_RNA from 1 species
UGCCCGUUUUGUACUGUCAAAUGAGGAACCCAAACCAGCAGGGUACGCAACAGAAAAUACUUUAGAACCAGUAGAGGUUGCCGUGACACUGCCUCCAUCCAACUCAACUCCAGUUGCUGCUUUCAAAAGAGUAGCCAAUGCAGCUGAGUCAAAUAAUUUCUUUGCUUCACGCUCCUUAUCUGUCUCCAAUUUUUCAAUAAUCUGUCCAUCAAUGCUGUGUUGAUGAUCAUGGAAAUCAUCAGCCACUG